rnacentral:rRNA from 1 species
UACGUAGGGUGCAAGCGUUAAUCGGAAUUACUGGGCGUAAAGCGUGCGCAGGCGGCUAUGCAAGACAGAUGUGAAAUCCCCGGGCUCAACCUGGGAACUGCAUUUGUGACUGCAUGGCUAGAGUACGGUAGAGGGGGAUGGAAUUCCGCGUGUAGCAGUGAAAUGCGUAGAUAUGCGGAGGAACACCGAUGGCGAAGGCAAUCCCCUGGACCUGUACUGACGCUCAUGCACGAAAGCGUGGGGAGCAAAC